GGGCGCAUAGCGCAGUGGUAGCGCGUCCGCUUUGCAAGCGGAAGGCCCCGGGUUCAAUCUUCGGUGUGGCUA
rfam:Phytophthora infestans T30-4 supercont1.25 genomic scaffold, whole genome shotgun sequence.